AACCUUAUGGACCUGCGGGCGUAUACCUGCGGAGGGAUCAUUACAUGGCGGAGAAGGUGGGCACCUGGCCAAAAAAAACUCCAGGUUGUCAUGCCUUCACGCUCUUCCACCCUUGUCUAUUUGUACCUCUUGUCGUUCCCUCGGCGGGUUUCGACCCGCCGGCGGUAACCAUUGAAAACCCUUUUUGCAGUUUAGCAUCCAAUUCUUCUGAUCAAAUAUCAAAUCGUUACAACUUUCAAC
rnacentral:misc_RNA from 1 species